UCAAAACACAAACCUCCAACUAUCUGCUGCUCAACAUGCUGUCACUGCAUCACUGUUUGUCUUCUCUGCUGCUUCUGUCCAUUUUAACAGGUGUCAGAUGUGAAGAACUGACUGCAGUGAAGGAUGAAGAGUCCAGUUUAGAAGGCAGCACUGUCACUCUGACCUACAACUACAUCAGACAAGUUGCUGUAAAUGAUUACUUCUUCUGGUACCGACAACAUCCAGGAAAACCUCCAGAGUUCCUCAUCUUUCACUUGGGAACACAAAAUGCAACAGAAGCUGGACUCUCUGCUACAGUGAGUGGUGAUAAAAACCAAAUCACUCUGAAGAUCUCCUCUGCUGCAGUGACAGACUCUGCUGUGUACUACUGUGCUGUGAGGCCCACAGUGACAGGAAACAGCAAAACUCUGAACAAAAACCUUUGGAGCAACAACAAGAGAAAAGUCCACAACAUCCACUAG